rnacentral:rRNA from 1 species
UACGUAGGGGGCAAGCGUUGUCCGGAAUUAUUGGGCGUAAAGCGCGCGCAGGCGGCUUUGUAAGUCUGGUGUUUAAACCCGAAGCUCAACUUCGGGUCGCAUUGGAAACUGCAAGGCUUGAGUGCAGAAGAGGAAAGUGGAAUUCCACGUGUAGCGGUGAAAUGCGCAGAUAUCGGGAGGAACACCUAUGGCGAAGGCAGCUCGCUGGGACGUUACUGACGCUGAGACGCGAAAGCGUGGGGAGCAAACAGG